rnacentral:rRNA from 1 species
AAAUUGAAGAGUUUGAUCAUGGCUCAGAUUGAACGCUGGCGGCAGGCCUAACACAUGCAAGUCGAACGGUAACAGGAAGCAGCUUGCUGCUUUGCUGACGAGUGGCGGACGGGUGAGUAAUGUCUGGGAAACUGCCUGAUGGAGGGGGAUAACUACUGGAAACGGUGGCUAAUACCGCAUAACGUCGCAAGACCAAAGAGGGGGACCUUCGGGCCUCUUGCCAUCAGAUGUGCCCAGAUGGGAUUAGCUUGUUGGUGAGGUAACGGCUCACCAAGGCGACGAUCCCUAGCUGGUCUGAGAGGAUGACCAGCCACACUGGAACUGAGACACGGUCCAGACUCCUACGGGAGGCAGCAGUGGGGAAUAUUGCACAAUGGGCGCAAGACUGAUGCAGACAUGCCGCGUGUAUGAAGAAGGCCUUCGGGUUGUAAAGUACUUUCAGCGGGGAGGAAGGUGUUGUGGUUAAUAACCGCAGCAAUUGACGUUACCCGCAGAAGAAGCACCGGCUAACUCCGUGCCAGCAGCCGCGGUAAUACGGAGGGUGCAAGCGUUAAUCGGAAUUACUGGGCGUAAAGCGCACGCAGGCGGUCUGUCAAGUCGGAUGUGAAAUCCCCGGGCUCAACCUGGGAACUGCAUUCGAAACUGGCAGGCUUGAGUCUUGUAGAGGGGGGUAGAAUUCCAGGUGUAGCGGUGAAAUGCGUAGAGAUCUGGAGGAAUACCGGUGGCGAAGGCGGCCCCCUGGACAAAGACUGACGCUCAGGUGCGAAAGCGUGGGGAGCAAACAGGAUUAGAUACCCUGGUAGUCCACGCCGUAAACGAUGUCUACUUGGAGGUUGUGCCCUUGAGGCGUGGCUUCCGGAGCUAACGCGUUAAGUAGACCGCCUGGGGAGUACGGCCGCAAGGUUAAAACUCAAAUGAAUUGACGGGGGCCCGCACAAGCGGUGGAGCAUGUGGUUUAAUUCGAUGCAACGCGAAGAACCUUACCUGGUCUUGACAUCCACAGAACUUUCCAGAGAUGGACUGGUGCCUUCGGGAACUGUGAGACAGGUGCUGCAUGGCUGUCGUCAGCUCGUGUUGUGAAAUGUUGGGUUAAGUCCCGCAACGAGCGCAACCCUUAUCCUUUGUUGCCAGCGAUUAGGUCGGGAACUCAAAGGAGACUGCCAGUGAUAAACUGGAGGAAGGUGGGGAUGACGUCAAGUCAUCAUGGCCCUUACGACCAGGGCUACACACGUGCUACAAUGGCGCAUACAAAGAGAAGCGACCUCGCGAGAGCAAGCGGACCUCAUAAAGUGCGUCGUAGUCCGGAUUGGAGUCUGCAACUCGACUCCAUGAAGUCGGAAUCGCUAGUAAUCGUGGAUCAGAAUGCCACGGUGAAUACGUUCCCGGGCCUUGUACACACCGCCCGUCACACCAUGGGAGUGGGUUGCAAAAGAAGUAGGUAGCUUAACCUUCGGGAGGGCGCUUACCACUUUGUGAUUCAUGACUGGGGUGAAGUCGUAACAAGGUAACCGUAGGGGAACCUGCGGUUGGAUCACCUCCUUACCUUAAAGAAGC